AUCUGGGUCCAACCUCCCACCCGUGUUUAUUUUACCUUGUUGCUUCGGCGGGCCCGCCUUAACUGGCCGCCGGGGGGCUCACGCCCCCGGGCCCGCGCCCGCCGAAGACACCCUCGAACUCUGUCUGAAGAUUGAAGUCUGAGUGAAAAUAUAAAUUAUUUAAAACUUUCAACAACGGAUCUCUUGGUUCCGGCAUCGAUGAAGAACGCAGCGAAAUGCGAUACGUAAUGUGAAUUGCAAAUUCAGUGAAUCAUCGAGUCUUUGAACGCACAUUGCGCCCCCUGGUAUUCCGGGGGGCAUGCCUGUCCGAGCGUCAUUGCUGCCCUCAAGCCCGGCUUGUGUGUUGGGCCCCGUCCUCCGAUUUCCGGGGGACGGGCCCGAAAGGCAGCGGCGGCACCGCGUCCGGUCCUCGAGCGUAUGGGGCUUUGUCACCCGCUCUGUAGGCCCGGCCGGCGCUUGCCGAUCAACCCAAAUUUUUUUAUCCAGGUUGACCUCGGAUCAGGUAGGGAUACCCGCUGAACUUAAGCAUAUCAAUAAGCGGAGGAAU
rnacentral:rRNA from 1 species